rnacentral:rRNA from 1 species
GGGGAGUGACGUCAAAUACAUCAUGCCCCUUACUGACCUGGGCGUACACACGUGCUACAAUGGUUGGUACAACGAAGGUUGCGAGUCGGUGACGGCGAGCUAAUCUCUUAAACGACCAAUCUCAGUUCGGAUUGUAGGCUGCAACCUCGCCUACAUGAAAUACGGAAUCGCUAGUAAUCGCGGAUCAGCACGCCGCGGUGAAUACGUUCCCGGGCCUU